ACGCUCGACACCUACGGGGGCAGCAGUGGGGAAUAUUGCACAAUGGGGGAAACCCUGAUGCAGCGACGCCGCGUGGNGGAAGAAGGUCUUCGGAUUGUAAACUCCUGUUGUUGGGGAAAAAGAGGAUGGUACCCAACAAGGAAGUGACGGCUAACUACGUGCCGGCAGUCGCGGUAAUCUGAGCGGGCGUGGCAAGGC
rnacentral:rRNA from 1 species